UACAGAGGUCUCAAGCGUUGUUCGGGAUUCAUUGGGCGUAAAGGGUGCGCAGGUGGCGCGGCAAGUCGGAUGUGAAAUCCCGGGGCUCAACCUUGGAACUGCAUUCGAUACUGCCGUGCUAGAGUGCUGGAGAGGAGAUUGGAAUUUACGGUGUAGCAGUGAAAUGCGUAGAUAUCGUAAGGAAGACCAGUGGCGAAGGCGGGAUCUCUGGACAGCUACUGACACUGAGGCACGGAAGGCCAGGGGGAGCAAACCGGGG
rnacentral:rRNA from 1 species